AUUGGAGUCAGAGAUAGGAGCACGGAGAGACAGUCACCUCUGAGGAGCGACAUGAGUGAGAGAAAAGCAGACAAAGAAGAGAAGAGCAUGCAGCUGCCCACCUGUGUAAUACUUCCUGAUGCCCAGACAUGGUUGUCCUUCAGCAUCACCAUUCCACUCAGGUCCUGUCUGUGCAUGGACACACCGCCAACCAACAUGGCGUACUUCUCCACCAGACGGAAGCCUGGGGUGGUCUUGCGUGUGCCAGCCACUUCUCCAUGCCAGCCUCCCACCGUUGCCAUUGCCUGCAGCUGAGAACAGCGAGUGGCGAUCCCUGAGGCCCGGGCCAGGCAGUUUAGAGCUGGCCUUUCUCCCAGGAGGAGGCACCUUGCUGGGCCUCUCACAACAGCAGUCAGCGUGAUGGCAUCUGGACCUGUGGAGUUUUGACUGAAAGCAGACCUGAUCCCAGAC